ACAGCAGCAGCCGCGGUAAUACAGAGGGUGCGAGCGUUAAUCGGAUUUACUGGGCGUAAAGCGUGCGUAGGCGGCUUUUUAAGUCGGAUGUGAAAUCCCUGAGCUUAACUUAGGAAUUGCAUUCGAUACUGGGAAGCUAGAGUAUGGGAGAGGAUGGUAGAAUUCCAGGUGUAGCGGUGAAAUGCGUAGAGAUCUGGAGGAAUACCGAUGGCGAAGGCAGCCAUCUGGCCUAAUACUGACGCUGAGGUACGAAAGCAUGGGGAGCAAACAGGAUUAGAUACCCGAGUAGUCCCUGUCUCUUAUAC
rnacentral:rRNA from 1 species